rnacentral:sRNA from 1 species
UGAACACCGUCAGGGCCAGGGGCCGCGUC